UAGGGAAUCUUCCGCAAUGGACGAAAGUCUGACGGAGCAACGCCGCGUGAGUGAAGAAGGAUUUCGGUUCGUAAAACUCUGUUGUUAGGGACGAAAAAAUGUAUAGUAACUAUAUACAAAAGAGACGGUACCUAACCAGAAAGCCACGGCUAACUACGUGCCAGCAGCCGCGGUAAUACGUAGGGGGCUAGCGUUAUCCGGAUUUACUGGGCGUAAAGGGUGCGUAGGUGGUCCUUCAAGUCGGUGGUUAAAGGCUACGGCUCAACCGUAGUAAGCCGCCGAAACUGGAGGACUUGAGUGCAGGAGAAGAAAGUGGAAUUCCCAGUGUAGCGGUGAAAUGCGUAGAUAUUGGGAGGAACACCAGUCGCGAAGGCGGCUUUCUGGACUGCAACUGACUCUGAGGCACGAAAGCGUGUGUAGCAAACAGG
rnacentral:rRNA from 1 species